UCGGGAAUUUUGGGCAAUGGGCGAAAGCCUGACCCAGCAACGCCGCGUGAAGGAUGAAGUAUUUCGGUAUGUAAACUUCGUAAGAAUAGGAAGAAUAAAUGACGGUACUAUUUGUAAGGUCCGGCUAACUACGUGCCAGCAGCCGCGGUAAUACGUAGGGACCAAGCGUUGUUCGGAUUUACUGGGCGUAAAGGGCGCGUAGGCGGCAAUUCAAGUCAUCUGUGAAAUCUCCGGGCUUAACUCGGAAUGGUCAACUGAUACUGUCACACUAGAGUACAGAAGGGGCAAUCGGAAUUCUUGGUGUAGCGGUGAAAUGCGUAGAUAUCAAGAGGAACACCUGAGGCGAAGGCGGGUUGCUGGGCUGAUACUGACGCUGAGGCGCGAAAGCUAGGGUAGCAAACGGGAUUAGAUACCCCGGUAGUCCCUGAGCGGGCUGGCAAGGCGCAU
rnacentral:rRNA from 1 species